GGAGAACACACUAUACACUCGUCAGUGCUGGAGAUGGAGGGAGAGAAGGAAGAAGCCAGGAUCUGAGAAAAUGGAGAACAUCAAGGAUGGGAAGAAGCACAGAGCAGCCCUCUAUCCCCAGAUGAAGUCUCACCAUUUAGCUCAGGCAGGACUCAAUGUCUCCAUCAUCCUGCCUCAGUGACCUGAACGCUGAUAUUACAGUUGCUUCUAGAGCCCCUCCAUGUCCUAAAAAGAUUAAAUCAUUGUGUCAAACUAUUGAUGCCCAAGUAAGCAAACGUGGGGAUUUCCUUCGGAAAAUGGUCACCUACUGGGGAAAAAAAC